GGUCCUGGUCCUGGUCCUGGUCCUGGUCCUGGUCCUGGUCCUGCCCGCGGGCGCCGGGAGUCGCUGCUCCACUGCGGAGCUGGAUGGGGGCAAGUUCAAACCAAUUUACAGAGGAGGAAACCGAGUCCUGGAAAGGAUUCAGGGUCGGCUCCUGCCUCCUGCCCCACCCCCGCCCGCGGAGUUCUCAGGCCGUGGAAUCUGCAGACCUCCCAGCCCGGCUCAGGUGCCCACCCCGGCCCGGUGCCCACCCUGGCCCAACUGUCUGAGGGACAGUCUGACCGCCGACAGCCUCGGGACGGAGCGUGCCGGGGGGGAUUGGGACCACCCUUCCUGCUCGGAACACGCUACCCUUAGUACCCUGCAGGCCCUUGCAACUGCUGCUCUGCAGGGAACAGUGGACUUAGCGGUUGGGAAAGUACAAUACAAUGGAAUUAGCAGAUCUGUAAGCUGCCUGUGGGCCGUUGUCUCCCAACUCUGUUGCACGGUACGCUGCCAAUAAUAGUAAUGAUCGU